CUUGUGUGCGUCGUGUACGUGAUGACAUCAUAGCACGUCGGGAGAGCCCGCCUCCCCGCACGUUACAACCAACGUCUGCAGUUGUUCUGUCAGCAGACGCUUUCUACUGAAUUGCACUUGAACUGGAGUAGAAAACACAAAGAUGAGCGGCCGGGUUAUGCAAGCGGCUAAAUGUCCGACAGACGAGCUGUCGCUGACCAACUGUGCCGUCAUCAAUGACAAGGAGCCGCAAUUUGAACAACACGUGACUGUGCGCAAUUUAACCCACAAGUAUGUGUUCACCUUGAGGAGACACCCCAGUGUGAGCUCUGGGAGCAUUGCCUUCAGCCUGCCACAGAGAAAAUGGGCUGGCCUCUCGAUUGGACAAGAGGUUGAAGUAACAGAAUACAAGUUUGACAAGUCCAAACAGUGUAUAAGCACCAUGACGAUGGAAAUCGACUUCCUACAGAAGAAGAGUGUGGACAGCAACCCUUACGACUCAGACAGCCUGGCCAGCGAGUUCAUCCAGCACUUCAACAACCAGGCCUUCAGCGUCGGCCAGCAGCUCGUGUUCAGUUUCUGUGAUAAGCUGUUUAGCUUAAUGAUAAAGGAUAUUGAGGCCAUGGACCCCAGCAUCCUAAAGGGAGAACAAGGCUCUGGCAAGAAACCCAAGAUUCAGAUCGGUUUGUUGUUGGGAAACAGUCAGGUGCUUUUUGAUAAGUCGGAGAGUUCGUCCAUGACUCUGGUUGGGAAAUCCAAGACCCGAGGGUCUCGCCAGUCCAUCAUCAGCCCAGACUGGAACUUUGAGCGGAUGGGAAUUGGCGGUCUUGACAAGGAGUUUUCUGACAUCUUCCGUAGAGCCUUCGCCUCCCGAGUCUUCCCUCCAGACAUAGUAGAACAGAUGGGCUGUAAGCAUGUGAAGGGAAUCCUCCUGUUCGGACCCCCAGGCUGCGGCAAAACCCUGAUGGCUCGACAGAUUGGCAAGAUGCUCAAGGCCCGCGAGCCGAAGAUCGUCAAUGGGCCCGAGAUUCUCAACAAGUACGUCGGAGAGUCUGAGGCCAACAUCAGGAAGCUGUUCGCAGACGCAGAGGACGAACAGAAGAGGCUCGGUGCCAACAGCGGCCUCCACAUCAUCAUAUUUGAUGAGAUUGACGCCAUCUGCAAACAGCGUGGCAGCAUGGCGGGCAGCACGGGAGUCCACGACACCGUGGUCAACCAGCUGCUGUCCAAGAUCGACGGCGUGGAGCAGCUCAACAACAUCCUGGUCAUAGGUAUGACCAACAGGCCUGACCUGAUAGAUGAUGCCUUGUUGAGGCCAGGAAGACUGGAGGUGAAGAUGGAGAUCGGGUUACCUGAUGAAAAGGGACGAAUUCAGAUCCUCAACAUCCACACGGCAAGGAUGCGUCAGCACGACCUGCUGUCCACCGAUGUAGACAUCAAGGAGCUGGCUGUGGAGACGAAGAACUACAGCGGUGCCGAGCUGGAGGGCCUGGUCCGGGCUGCACAGUCCACUGCCAUGAACAGACACAUCAAGGCUAGUAACACGGUGGAGGUAAACAUCGAGACGGCAGGGAAGCUGAUGGUCAGCAGGCUCGACUUCCUGGCCUCGCUGAAUAAUGACAUCAAACCUGCGUUUGGCGUCAACCAGGAGGACUACGCAAGCUACAUCAUGAACGGGAUCAUCCGAUGGGGUGAUCCGGUGUCAGCGGUCCUGGGGGACGGAGAGUUGCUGGUGCAGCAGACAAAAAAUAGCGACCGCACACCGUUGGUCUCUGUGCUACUGGAAGGCCCACCUAACAGUGGGAAAACAGCGCUGGCAGCUAAGAUCUCAGAAGAAUCUGAGUUCCCCUUCAUCAAGAUCUGCUCCCCCGACAAGAUGAUCGGACACUCAGAGAUCGCCAAAUGCCAAGCCAUCAAGAAGAUAUUUGAAGACGCCUACAAGUCCCAGCUGAGCUGUGUGGUCGUGGAUGACAUUGAACGUCUGUUAGACUACGUCCCAAUUGGCCCUCGUUUCUCCAACCUGGUGUUACAAGCUCUGCUGGUGCUGCUGAAGAAACCUCCUCCAAAGGGCCGCAAGCUGCUGAUCAUCGGCACCACGAGUCGUAAGGACGUCCUCCAGGAAAUGGAGAUGCUGGAUGCUUUCAGCACCACCAUCCACAUUCCCAACAUCUCCAGAGGAGAGCAGCUGGUCGAAGCCCUGGAGCUGCUGGGGAGUUUUCAGGACGUUGAGCGAGCCAGCAUAGCAAAAGCUGUGAAGGGCCAAAAUCUGUGGAUCGGCAUUAAAAAGCUGCUCAUGCUGAUUGAAAUGUCCGUGCAGAUGGAACCAGGCUACAGAGUCAGCAAGUUCCUGAGUCUACUGAAGGAUGAAGGAGCACUGGGUUCUGAUAAGUUUAUGGCGAUCUAGACUCGGUGGAGCCACGCAGUGAAAGAGAGGCAUCCUUCAACGUUACCUGGCUAACUUGUUAAUCCUGCUCUGUGAGAAACCAGUCCAUGAGGAAGAGGAAGAGGAGGAGGAGGAGGAGGAAGAGAAGCUGCCCACGGUGAUGAACAACAAAAGCUCCGACUUUUUUUUUUUUUUUUUUCAGUUUUCGCAGCCGGAGCUUUUUUUCCUUCACAUCGCUGCCUCAGAGACUUUAUGUUGCUGAGGAACGGAAGCCUGAAAAGAGGCUGGCAGGAGGAAGCGAGCGAGCGAGAGAUAGUUUCCACGUCUCCCUCUGCAUCCUUCCCUUCCCAUCCCUGAAGCUCUGCACGCUCCUCUCUGCACUGCAGCUUUCUGCAGCCUCCUCCUCCUCUUCAGCACUUUGUGGACGUGUAAAAUAAAAGAGUUUGAUGUAUCUGUGUAUAUUGCA